UAGCGUUCCGCUACGUUUACGAGUAGCCACUCCCGACAACCGUAAUAAUUAACAUCGAAUAACAAAAAGUUACCUUACGAUCGAGGUAGGAAAAUGAAAACAGAAUUAGUGCUAGCUAACCAACGACUUAAGAAGGUCAAAUACAGACAAAUAUGUGUUGGAGAAAAAACGGCAGAUGUCAUACAUAAAAGAAUAGGAGAUAUUCAAUAAAUCUAUUUUGGAAUUGCAAUUACAAAGCAAGCUAAAUAUAUCUGUAAAGAUAUAAUAUACCUAAAAUGAACGUCUGCCGUACCUAGAGAAUUAUAAAAUAGAACCAAGCUUUUAACAUCCCACAAAGACAACUUAUAUGGAAAAUGCACUAAGAAUAACAUCCCUAUUAAUUAUCCGGAAAGUAAAUCUUCCCCAAGAUGUGUAUACUCAUAGAGCCGCUUACCGUCUGAUAAACCGGCAAGUCCAUAAGCCAACACUUGGAAUUAGAGCUGAAGGAAGUUCAUCUAGAUUGGAACAAAGAUAAGUGUACUUAAUUAAUGUUCUCAUUUAUAGACCGAAUUGUGUUCCGCAAUAUAUUAUAUAUUUAUUCUA
rnacentral:lncRNA from 1 species